GUGGGGAAUUUUGGACAAUGGGCGCAAGCCUGAUCCAGCAAUGCCGCGUGCAGGAAGAAGGCCUUCGGGUUGUAAACUGCUUUUGUACGGAACGAAACGGCUCUGGUUAAUACCCGGGGCUAAUGACGGUACCGUAAGAAUAAGCACCGGCUAACUACGUGCCAGCAGCCGCGGUAAUACGUAGGGUGCAAGCGUUAAUCGGAAUUACUGGGCGUAAAGCGUGCGCAGGCGGUUUUGUAAGACAGGAGUGAAAUCCCCGGGCUCAACCUGGGAAUGGCGCUUGUGACUGCAAAGCUGGAGUGCGGCAGAGGGGGAUGGAAUUCCGCGUGUAGCAGUGAAAUGCGUAGAUAUGCGGAGGAACACCGAUGGCGAAGGCAAUCCCCUGGGCCUGCACUGACGCUCAUGCACGAAAGCGUGGGGAGCAAACAGGAUUAGAAACCCUAGUAGUCC
rnacentral:rRNA from 1 species